rnacentral:rRNA from 1 species
CUCUAGAGAUAGAGUGGAGGUUAUCCGGGAUACAGGUGGUGCAUGGUUGUCGUCAGCUCGUGUCGUGAGAUGUUGGGUUAAGUCCCGCAACGAGCGCAACCCUUGUCUUUAGUUACCAUCAUUCAGUUGGGGACUCUAGAGAGACUGCCGGUGAUAAACCGGAGGAAGGUGGGGAUGACGUCAAAUCAUCAUGCCCCUUAUGGCCUGGGCUACAAACGUAAUACAAUGGCGUAUACAAAGGGAUGCGAAAGGGUGACCUGGAGCAAAACUCACAAAGUACGUCUCAGUUCAGAUUGGAGUCUGCAACUCGACUCCAUGAAGGCGGAAUCGCUAGUAAUCGCGGAUCAGCAUGCCGCGGUGAAUACGUUCUCGGGGUUU